rnacentral:misc_RNA from 1 species
GAUGAAGAACGUAGCGAAAUGCGAUACGUAAUGUGAAUUGCAGAAUUCAGUGAAUCAUCGAAUCUUUGAACGCAUAUUGCGCUCUCUGGUAUUCCGGAGAGCAUGCUUGUUUGAGUAUCAGUAAACACCUCAACUCCCUUUUCUUUUUUGAAAUGGGAGCUGGACUUGAGUGAUCCCAACACUUUUCUCACUGGAAAGUGGCGGGUCACUUGAAAUGCAGGUGCAGCUGGACUUUUCUCUGAGCUAUAAGCAUAUCUAUUUAGUCUGCCUAAAAAACAGAUUAUUACCUUUGCUGCAGCUAACAUAAAGGAGAUGAGUUCUUGUGCUGACUGAUGCAGGAUUCACAGAGACAGCUUUGCGGCUGACUUUGUAAACUCGAUCUCAAAUCAAGUAAGACUACCCGCUGAACUUAAGCAUAUCAUAAGCGGAGGA